UACGUAGGGUGCGAGCGUUAAUCGGAAUUACUGGGCGUAAAGCGUGCGCAGGCGGUUCGUUAAGUCAGCUGUGAAAGCCCCGGGCUUAACCUGGGAAUUGCGGUUGAAACUGGCGAACUAGAAUCUGGCAGAGGGGGGUGGAAUUCCACGUGUAGCAGUGAAAUGCGUAGAGAUGCGGAGGAACACCGAUGGCGAAGGCAGCCCCCUGGGCCAACACUGACGCUCAGGCACGAAAGCGUGGGGAGCAAACAGG
rnacentral:rRNA from 1 species